rnacentral:rRNA from 1 species
AGCAGUCGCCGCGGUAAUACGUAGGUGGCGAGCGUUAUCCGGAUUUAUUGGGUUUAAAGGGAGCGUAGGCUGGAGAUUAAGUGUGUUGUGAAAUGUAGACGCUCAACGUCUGACUUGCAGCGCAUACUGGUUUCCUUUAGUACGCACAACGUUGGCGGAAUUCGUCGUGUAGCGGUGAAAUGCUUAGAUAUGACGAAGAACUCCGAUUGCGAAGGCAGCUGACGGGAGCGCAACUGACGCUUAAGCUCGAAGGUGCGGGUAUCAAACAGGAUUAGAUACCCGUGUAGUCCCUGUCUCUUAUAC